rnacentral:rRNA from 1 species
AAAGCGCACGUAGGCGGACUGGAAAGUCAGAGGUGAAAUCCCAGGGCUCAACCUUGGAACUGCCUUUGAAACUCCCAGUCUUGAGGUCGAGAGAGGUGAGUGGAAUUCCGAGUGUAGAGGUGAAAUUCGUAGAUAUUCGGAGGAACACCAGUGGCGAAGGCGGCUCACUGGCUCGAUACUGACGCUGAGGUGCGAAAGCGUGGGGAGCAAACAGGAUUAGAUACCCUUGU